AACCUCUUUUCUGGGGGACGAGUAAGGACGGUACCUCAGGAAUAAGUCUCGGCUAACUACGUGCCAGCAGCCGCGGUAAAACGUAGGAGGCGAGCGUUAUCCGGAUUUACUGGGCGUAAAGCGUACGCAGGUGGCUUCGUGAGUCGGACAUGAAAGCUCCUGGCUUAACUGGGAGAGGUUGUUCGAUACUGCGGGGCGUGAGGUUGGGAGAGGGACGUGGAAAUCGCGGUGUAGUGGUGGAAUGCGUAGAUAUCGGGAGGAACACCAGUGGAGCAAGCGGCGUCAUGGCACACACCUGACGCUGAGGUACGAAAG
rnacentral:rRNA from 1 species